AGUGGUAAAAGUAUUUUAAAUUGCUUAUUCUUUAGAUGGUCUGGGGUUUGAACUCAGGGCCUUGUGCUGAGUCUCACCUGCUGUCCCCAUCUCUGCACCCCAGUUCCAGGCACCUCUUUGUUGCUUUUUGGUUAUAGUGACUAUACUGCCAAAGGGCCAUUGUACUCAGUGCUUCUGGUUUCUCCUGGCCCCCUCGCUCUCCUAGUUCAUAUGAAUUAAGUCUUAGUCUUUCACAUCCACAUUGGAAGCCCCAUUCUCAGUGAGGCUUUUCCUGGGCAACCUAUCUAAAAUUUCAGCUGCAUCCAUAGUACUUUCUGUUCUCUUGCUUGCUCUCCUCCCCCACCUUCGUUCACUCUUAUCAUUAUCUAACAUACUUCCUUAUUUAUUGUCUGCUUCUUGCAACUAGGGAGUAAAGUCUGUGAGGUGAGGGCUUUUUUUUUUUUGAGGGUUGGAUUGGGGUUGCUAGAACU